CAAAAACAUACAAUAAUGAAAACUUUUUUAUUAUAAAUAUAAUAAAAAUAAAUAAUACCUAUUUAUAUUAUAACUUAUACGCAAUUAUUUAGUAGUAUUAUCAUUGGGUUACCCUAUAUUAUUUAUAAGCUAAGCAGUAUAUUAAGCAGUGAAAUGAUCCAAUUAAGCCCAUAAAAUAAUGGUCAGCAACAACAAAACCUUGGUUUUCAACUUUAUUUACUCUACAGCAUAUAAUACUAUGGAAAUUAAAUACAGCAGAGACGCGUUAUAACCAUGGGCACGCAUCGUCCGCGGGACAAACAACGGCGUCGUUUACACCGCUUAAUCCCGCGAUUCUGUGAUCUGGUCGUUCAUUCAUAGGUAUCUGGAUAAGUAUGCCCACCUGUAGUGAUACAAUAAGAAUAUAUAAAAGGGAUGUGAUGGUUCGCGUUUCCGAAUAAAUUUACUUAACUCGUGUAAAAAUGCGCUUAUUUCUGAUUUGUGCGUACCUAUACUAUGUUAUAUAAUAAAACGUGUAU